rnacentral:rRNA from 1 species
GACGAACGCUGGCGGCGUGCCUAAUACAUGCAAGUUGAGCGCUGAAGGUUGGUACUUGUACCAACUGGAUGAGCAGCGAACGGGUGAGUAACGCGUGGGGAAUCUGCCUUUGAGCGGGGGACAACAUUUGGAAACGAAUGCUAAUACCGCAUAAAAACUUUAAACACAAGUUUUAAGUUUGAAAGAUGCAAUUGCAUCACUCAAAGAUGAUCCCGCGUUGUAUUAGCUAGUUGGUAAGGUAAAGGCUCACCAAGGCGAUGAUACAUAGCCGACCUGAGAGGGGGAGGGCCCAAACGGGAACUGAGACAGGCUCAAAACUCCUAGGGGGGGAAGAAGGGGGGAUUCUUGCACAAGGGGGAAAAGCCUAACGGAGCAACGCGGGGGGGGGGAGGAGGGUCUUGGGAUCGAAAAACUUUUUGAUUAGGAAAGAAGAAGUGGGUAAGGAACGAUGCACGACGUGACGGUACCUAACCAGAAAGGCACGGCUAACUACGUG